rnacentral:rRNA from 1 species
UACGGGGGGGGCAAGCGUUGUUCGGAAUUAUUGGGCGUAAAGAGCUCGUAGGCGGUCUGUCGCGUCGGAUGUGAAAACCCAGGGCUCAACCCUGGGCCUGCAUUCGAUACGGGCAGACUAGAGUUCGGUAGGGGAGACUGGAAUUCCUGGUGUAGCGGUGAAAUGCGCAGAUAUCGGGAAGAACACCCGUGGCGAAGGCGGUUCUCUGGGACGGUACUGACGCUGAGACGCGAAAGCGUGGGGAGCGAACAGG